rnacentral:lncRNA from 1 species
AAGAGAACAACUCAAAUCCGAAAGAAGGUAGUAAUACAUUUAAACUUACCUACACUUGACAUACUCAUCAAUUUCAUUUCUACCAGUAGGAUUUGGCACUGUAAAAACACCCCUUCGUUCAUUACCCACAUCGAUACCCCUUCGUUCAUUACCCACAUCGAUACGCAUUCGUACAACAUCAUGGCCCUUCGUAAGGUAUUUGAAUAAAUACUUCAAAAGAUUCGUCUUAUUGCACCAUUCCACAUUUAUAUGAGCUUCAAACUUCUUCAAUAAUUUCAUAUUAUAUGGAACAACCCAUGCAUUUCCUAAACGAAGGGUGCCCUUCUUCCUGAGUACGUACCGACCUUUGUCACGACAACGAUAAACAGGAAAACCCACAUCAUCAACCAUCGUUUCGUCACUAAAUGGUUUAGGAAAUCUUUUGGAACAACAAUCAUUUUUCAUGCAAGCACACUUAUUGUUAUAUACACCGCAUGGACCAUGGAUCAUAAACUCGUCCACAAGAGCAUAGCCCAAAGGAUCUACCAACGGAUCUGGCAAUUCAGCGCAAAUCAAUUCGUUUAUAAAAGAUGGCGAUGGAUCCUUAGUAUUAGCCUUCAACCAAAUCAAAGUAUGAAUAUGUGGAAGGCCCCUUUUUUGAAACUCAACAACAUAUAGAUCUGCAAUAGCAAAAUCAACAUAUUACAAAAUAG